rnacentral:rRNA from 1 species
AGCUCCAAUAGCGUAUAUUAAAGUUGUUGCAGUUAAAAAGCUCGUAGUUGAAGGUUGGGUGCGGGGAAAGGGGUGGGCUGUAUUAGGCCUUACUGAUUUGCCGGCCUAUUUUGGGGAGUGCUGGAGGGUAAUAUCUUUAGCACGCGCCCCGCGUUACUGUGAAGAAAUUAGAGUGUUUAAAGCAGGCAUAGGCUUGAAUACACGAGCAUGGAAUAACAAGAAGACGAUGUGUCUUGUCUUGUUGGUAUUGGGGAUGGAUCAAAGGAUUAAUAGGGUCAGUUGGGGGCAUUAGUAUUCAGUAGUCAGAGGUGAAAUUCUUGGAUUUACUGAAGACUAACAAGAGCGAAAGCAUUUGCCAAGGAUGUUUUCA